UGCAACAGAAAAAACUUCGUUCAAUGAGCUACAUUUAGCUCCGACUACUGCUCUGUAUUACUGUUAAACGUGUUUUAAUCGUGUUGUUAUUGGUUAUAUUUUGCUAUCGAGUCUGUGUCAUCGAUAUAUCGCGAAUUAACUGUCAUUAAAACCCCUUAAAUGUCAGCAUACUGCGCUCAGUCCGAUUCGGUUGUCCAAUAGAAAACAGCCUCGACGUGUGAGCGAGUGAUGUGGGCUGUUUAGUUUGGUUGUACUGGUUAGACAUAGUAAUUAAAUGCUUUUAAUUGUGGGUGAACCUGUUACGCCCAUAUUGUAUGCAGUAGGACGCGCAGUUUCAUUGUUUUAAUGUGGCGGGUGCAUUGACAACAUCGUAGCCUGUAUGUUGUGUCAGUAUCAGCGUUGACUCCGUUGAUGUAAGGCGACUCACCGCUGGUUGUAUCAUUUUAACUACAGAUACUUUACAGCUAAAUUCCGUGAGGCUGCAGUCAGUUGGCAGAGGAAAAUAUCAGACAGGACCAGAAAGCAGGACAGAAACGUCAGAAGCACCUGGACAGCUCAACAAGAAGUCACAAACGCUGUUUAAUUUCAAACACCUAAGGUGGAUGUUGUCUGCAUUUCGUUCAGCAAUGCCAUGUUCCCUUGGGACACGUCAAAAGCUCAAGGUGACCACAAAUCCUUCAGUGCCUGUAACAGCUACAGAGGAAUACAGUUUAAAGGAACAGUCCAUCCAGAAAUGCACAUUCUGUCAUUAUCUGCUCGCCCCCGUGCUGAUGGAAAGUCGGGUGAAGUUUCUCCCCUAAACAACUGGCAAGAUAUUGGAGUUCAGAGGACACAGACCGAAGACUGAGUUAACUUAUCUGAUGACAUUUCUGUCUUUCACUUUAUCAGUGCUUUUUAAGAUCAUGCACCUUUCGUCACAUCCCUUUCAAAAACAAACAAAAAGGUUCAGGAAAAAUUUGUCUUUGAAUUGUUGUUGAAGUUUUCACCUUAAAUACAUGUUUCACAUCUUUGCAACAAAAGUGUUUCUAUGAAGAAAUGACAAAUUGUAAAGUAUUUCCAGUGUGGUAUUUUGCCUGUACAAUACACAUUUUAUACAUGUCUCUUGA